UAAGGAAUAUUGGUCAAUGGACGCAAGUCUGAACCAGCCAUGCCGCGUGGAGGAUGAAGGUCCUCUGGAUUGUAAACUUCUUUUAUCUGGGACGAAACACUUCUUUUCUAAGAGGCCUGACGGUACCAGAUGAAUAAGCACCGGCUAACUCCGUGCCAGCAGCCGCGGUAAUACGGAGGGUGCAAGCGUUAUCCGGAUUCACUGGGUUUAAAGGGUGCGUAGGUGGGUAUGUAAGUCAGUGGUGAAAUCCCCGAGCUUAACUUGGGAACUGCCAUUGAUACUAUAUAUCUUGAAUACCGUAGAGGUAAGCGGAAUAUGUCAUGUAGCGGUGAAAUGCUUAGAUAUGACAUGGAACACCCAUUGCGAAGGCAGCUUACUAUGCGGUGAUUGACACUGAGGCACGAAAGCGUGGGUAGCAAACA
rnacentral:rRNA from 1 species